rnacentral:rRNA from 1 species
CCUACGGGAGGCAGCAGUGAGGAAUAUUGGUCAAUGGACGCGAGCCUGAACCAGCCAAGUAGCGUGAAGGAUGACUGCCCUACGGGUUGUAAACUUCUUUUAUAAAGGAAUAAAAUGAGGCACGUGUGCCUUUUUGUAUGUACUUUAUGAAUAAGGAUCGGCUAACUCCGUGCCAGCAGCCGCGGUAAUACGGAGGAUCCGAGCGUUAUCCGGAUUUAUUGGGUGUAAAGGGAGCGUAGAUGGGUUGUUAAGUUAGUUGUGAAAGUUUGCGGCUCAACCGGAAAAGUGCAAUUGAUACUGGGAGUCUUGAGUGCAGUAGAGGUAGGCGGAAUUCGUGGUGUAGCGGUGAAAUGCUUAGAUAUCAGGAAGAACACCGAUUGCGAAGGCAGCUUACUGGACUGCCACUGACGUUGAGGCUCGAAAGCGUGGGUAUCAAACAGGAUUAGAUACCCUUGUAGUC